rnacentral:lncRNA from 1 species
UGGGCGAGGAGUACAAAGGACCCCAGGCGAAGCCGGCGCCGGGAGGCAGAGCUGACUCCCGCGGGACUCUACCGGCCUGCGAGCGUUCGUCACGUGCUCGGUGGCUGAGGGGCCGUCCCGGCCGGGCGGGCUUCACCGCGUGGGCGCGGCAGUCGCCACUCACCGAGGUUGACGACCUUGAGCGCCGUGAAGAAGCGGUUCUGCCGGGCCAGGCGUGGGUUCUCACUAUGUUGCUUAAGCUGGUCCAGAACUCAAGCCAGUCUCUCACUUCAGCCUCUUGAGUCGUUGGGAUUACAGAAGCCACCAUGUCCAACUGAAAGAGAUCAAGGGGAUUCUUGUGAGCAAGGUUCUUCCUGGUACCUGAUUGGGCAACUGGAUGAAGAAGAGGGAAAGGAAAAAGCUGCCUGAGCCCCCCAAGACAUCAGGUGCCCUCCUUAUGGUGACUGCAGAGAUCCUGGGAAGAGUCAAAGGUUAUUCAAAUCCAGACUGGACCCAAAGGGGUUCACAGAGAGGCAGGAGACCGCUUGGAAAAGAGACAAGAUCUUGUUGCCCAGGCUGGUCUCAAACUCCUGCGUUCAAAUGAUACUCUCGCCUUGGCCUCCAAAAGUGUUGGGAUUGCAGACCUGAGCUACUAUGCCUGGCUGAAUUCUAUUUCUAUUGGAUUGGUUGUAAAGAAGUGCAUUGUAGCCUGCAAAGGAGCAGGGCCAGUGGGGUGGAGAGGGCAGAAGUGCUACAGAGGCCCCUGCUCUCCACUGCCCUGACUGCUACUGUGCUGGAUGCCGUGUGAACCACAGCUGCAUCUGGAGGCCUUGGGCAGCACCUAACAGGAAGCCAGAGUAGGUCCUCUGAAGGUGUUUGUUCAAUGAACUUGUCAUCCUCCUCAACUUAAAGCCUUUAGCUUUUCCAAUUUGGAGGCACAAAUAAGUGAGAACUUGGGGAUCCACUGAGGUCUGAGGCACGGUGGUACCAGAGGAGAUGAAGGGGCUUUCAGCAUGAAGCUGGUCCCCUGUCGACAGCACGCUGAUUUUCCCGUUGGGCUCUAUCAGCAUGUCCACUGUGAGACCAUGCUUGUGAAAAUACCAGGACGGUAAAUUAGUGAAUUCCAAAGUCAGGAUUUUUGUUGGAUCUGGCACAGUCACAGGAAAGUCUGAGUUUUCUCAAGGGCAUCCCUGUCUCACCGAGGGGCACCAAGGACAGACGACCAGAAGCAAAUGGCGCAGUCACCGUCAGAGGAGAGUAAAACUCAUUCUGAAACGGUUCCAAAUGCCCAUGCCUGCUCUGUGGUUUUCAGCAAAGCGGACCUUUCCAAAAGACCUCCAACAGGGACUUCCUGGAUGUGAGAACACUAACCAAUUCUCGUUCCUCUCAUCUUUUGCUUUAUUCCUUCCUUCCAUGCUGUUAUUGCGAAAAACUGGUAGUUAAAUUCAAUUGAUUCAAAAUAUUCGGGAUCCAUAUGGCCGCCAACCCUGGAGCUGAAGCGGCGAUAGCGCCUCACUGCUGUUUUCAAGCAUUUGCCUCUCCUCCAGUCCCCAGAUGGUGGGAGUAACAUUUAAACCUCCUUUUCUCUGCCUUGUACAAUAGACCUUGGCACCAUUUCAACUGUUUACUCCGGUAAUUAACAGCUCUGAUACCACAACAAUUACAACUCCUACACUCUCACCACAAUAAUGCUAUGAAUUAGUGAGAGCUAAUGGCUGGAAGGUAGAGUGUUUCCAGACUGUGGGAUCUGUGCAUUUUUAGAAUAAAAUAAAAGGUACAAACAGCACGCUUGCAGUAGACAAUGAUUACCUAGUAAUUAGUUUACACAAAGCUUCCUAUUUAAUGGCAAAACGCUGUAAUUAACGUGUGACAGAAAAUCAAAGGGUACUUUGUAAGCAUAUUAAAAAUUAACACUGCAGGCCCAUAGCUUUAUGUACUGAUUAGAAGCAUAUUAAAUCAAUAGGACACACAAACCAACAGCUUGGGUAGCUGAUUAUUAUAGGUCCUCAGAAGGGGUACCCUGGCUUUCAUUUCACUUGGGGAGGCAAUUUUCCUUCUCCUGUCAUCUUCCUCAGGCACAGAGAAACACCUCAAACUCAACCCUGGCAGCUUCAUGAAAAUAACCACUGAACUGGAAGAAAACAUUCUAAGUCAUUCUCAGAGAUGAAGACAAAUAUGUAAAUGAUUAAGACUUUCCAAUGAUUGUGGUGACGUGCUGCUACACUAAUUAGAAAAUACACCAACUGGAACCAGAAAAUAAAGCCACUGGGUUGCAAUCUUCCGGUCAGAAUAAUCUCUACUUUGUCAAGCCUCUUUAUUCAACUCAUAGAAAGUUCAAAUAAAUGGAACUGUUUUAUAUUUCUAAAUGAUAAGAAAGCAGGCUGCUAUGAAGACUUAUUCUUUCCAAGGCACUGUCUGGGUAAAGCAUAGGCUGGGAACAACUGGAUCAACCAACAUUCUGUAUCUUCAACAGCCACAACCCCAUAUAAUGAUGGCUGAUGGACAUAGACAGCAAUAUCCUGGAAGCCUACCAGAGCCUAAAGAACCUUCUGAAUCACCAAAGAAAGAUUAAGUUGUAUGUACUUGUUCAAUGUUACCUGUAUUUUGUUAUAAUACAAUUUUAUGGUAAUAAUAACAACAAUAAUAAUAGGUAGCAUUUCUUAAAGUCUUAUUAUGUGCUAAGCACACUGCUAGCCAAUUCAUAGAAUUAUCUCAUUUACUUGUCACCACUUCCCCAUGAGACAGGUACUAAUCUCUCUUUACAGAUAGAGAAAGGGAGACUUGGAGAGCUGAAGUAAUUUGCCUAUAGUUAUCCCCCAGGGAGCAUGGGAGUCUAACCUAGGUGUCCCUGGCUAUGGAACCCCAGGAAGCCAAACUACCUCUUAGUUACCCUGAAUGACUAGCCUGUUCCAACACUCAUUCUGCUUAAAAGGCAGUUUACUAUGUCAACCUGGAAUAGGAGACUAAAAAAAUUAAAACAAAAACAAAAUAUUUGGUUGCUUAUUUUUUUAAAAAACAGGGUGUUUCUGCUUUUAGAGAUAGGAGUCUUGUUCUGUCACCCAGGCUGGAGAGUGGUGGUGCAGUCAUGACUCAUUGCAGCCUCAAACUCCUGGGCUCGAGUGAUCCUCUUUCUUCAGGCUCCUAAGUAGCUGGAACUACAGGCACACACCUAAUUUUUAAAUUUUUUGUAGAGAUAGGGUCUCACUAUAUUGCCCAGGCUGGUCUUGAACUCCUGGCCUCAAGCCAACUCCCACCUCAGCCUUCCAAAGUGUUGGGAUUACAAAAUAUUACAGGAGUGAUCGACUGCACUGGGCUAAAAACAAGGGUUUUAAAUGCUUACCAUAUUUUUAAUGCUACAUCUGAUUGUGAAGGUGGGCUACUCAAAGCUUUUUGGGAAUUUACAGGCUCACUAAAAUGAUCACGAUAGUGUAUUAAAUUGAGAAAGGCAUUGAAAAUCUGUCAUUCCCAUGAACAACCAAAGGGUGAUGUCUAAAAUUCUCUCUCAUCACCCAUGCACAUAACCAGGUAUAUGAGGCAGUUGGGUUGCAAGAGCUGAAUCCUAGAAACUCCUAGGCAGGGCUCCUCCUCUCCAGCUCUGAGGUGUGUGUAUUGAUGGCCCCCUACACCUCCCAGUUUGCUGCCUUGUGGGAAAAGGAGACCAGCUCUUCUGUUAUCUAGGAAAGGGAAGAAAUUUGAGAGCAGUGGCCUCUGUGUUCCAGGAAUAUUUGCGUUUCCCACAAAUCUCUGGAAAGCAGAAAGCUUGCCACAAGGGCAGCACACGGUAUGAGUCACAAAGGCAAGGACCUGAGGGAGAACACUUCCCAGGACUUUCAAAUAAGGUCUUUCCUAAAUGUACUUGGCUCAGUGUGGCAAAAGCACUGGGCUAGCAGCAGUCAGAUGUGGGUUCAAAGCAAGGCACAAUCAUUUAUUAGCUAUAAAUUUGGGCAAGUCACUUCUUGAGAAUAAGUUUCUUCAUCUGUAAACAGAAGUAAUACCUUCCUUAUAUCUUAAAUUGGUGUGGAAGUAAAUGAGUAAAAACCUCAGGGUUUUUCUGAGUUUAAAUGAGACAAUUCAUGUAACGUGCUUAGCACAAUACCUGGUACCCAGUAGGUACUCUGCAGUAUUUAUUGAUGAUGAUGAUGAUGAUGAUGAUGAUGAUGAUGAUGACAAAGAAAUACAAGGAAAUGUCAACACCUUAACAGUGCAUUCAUAGAUCUACAAAAUGCUUAAUCUCAGUGUUCUGGCAACCACUAAAUACAUAAAGAUAAUCUAAGACAUCAAGAUUUCAACAUAUAAAAAUAAAUAUAAAAACAAGUGAACAAUAAUCAUUUAUAUGUAGUUUCAUGACUGGAAAAAAUAAUAACCUAGAUUUUUUCUUAACCUAGAAAAUCUAGAUUAAAAAAUAAAGAUCUUGCAUUUUUGAUAUAAAACACAAAUAAUAAGGACAUGAAAAAAGAAUAUCCCUUGCUAGUAAUCAAAUAAUAGCAAUGAGAAGCUGGAUUCUUAUAUCUAAAAUAAAAGUGCAAAUAGUUCAUAAUAUCCAUUGGUGGUAAGGUUGUGGUAAAACUAGUAUUCUUAUUCUCUGCCAGUUGCUUUGGAAAUUGGUACUAUCUUUUUAGGAAUAUGGCAAUAUGUAACAAAAGCCAUAAAAUAUUCUACUCCUGGGUCUUUCUCCUCGGGAAGUAACUCAACAGAAGCAAAAAGAGGUGUAUACAAAAACCAAAUAUAAAAACAAACAAAUCUUUCCUCCCUCUUUCCUCCCACUGCCAAAAAAUGAAAGCUGGGAAUAGCCUAAAUUUCCAACUUAGUUGAAUUGUUCAAUAUAUUAGAGUUCAUCAAUAUGAGAGAAUAUUAUGCAUCUAAUAAUUGUGACGACUAUGUAUAAACAUGGAAAAUAUUUAAGAUCUGAUGUUUAACUAGCAUAUACACUAUUAUUGUAGCUAUGAGAAAGAAAUACUGCAUAUUUAGAAAUUAAUAUACAAAAAUGAAAACAACUAUGUUUGGGGACAGUGAUUAUGUACUUUUAAAUUUUUUUUAAUCUUGUUAUCUUUAAACUUUUCUAAAAAUGAUGUGAUUACAAGCAAUGGCUCUUUGGGAUCACCUAAUAAAUACCUACUAAAUUCUAGACGGGACAACGAGCUCUGCCAUCCUGCAAUGGCUCCUGUGACCUAGUUCCAGGGCCAUUCUGAAUGGACAGAGGUCUUCACAAUGGAGGUGGAGAUGCAGGGAGCUCUAUGGCAUGAAAUGGUUAAUGAUUCUCUUUUGUAAUUGUGUUUUCUGUUUGCUGCCUUAGUUCUAAAAGGAGGCAAAACAACUGUGGUUUAUUCUACCUUUUCCAGGCAUAGUUCUUCUCCUACCUUUGUGAUCCCCAAAUUAAUAUCAAAUGUCUAAUUAGUUUUUUUCUCCAUUGGUGAUCCCCAAAUUAAUAUCAAAUGUCAGACAAAGUAAAUCAAAGUACAAAUAAAGGUAAAACUGCUCUUGCAAAGGGCUAAAAUAGCAAUGUUUACUAGAAGCAUUCAAGAGCCAGUUCAAUUUCCUAUUUCUCAUUAAGUGGUAAAAUAGUAAUGCCAAGACCACAUCCCAGAAUCUCCAGGGUAACAGAGGCCCAACGAAGGGCUGCAGAGAAACUUGAAAGUAAACUGGCUUAGUUCUUUACACACAGAAAUUGUUCUACAAAGAUCUCUUGCAAAGCAGUGUCACCAGUAGCAUCACUGCCACUAAGCCAAUGUCCCAGGAAUUGAGGAAAGGAAGACACCCUUAAAGAAAAAAAUGGAAAAAAGCCACAAGGACUGGUACCACAGUAAAUGUCUGCCUGGGUCUCCCUAAACUGUCUUAGGUGAGCUUACCCAGGAAUGUUUCUCCCCUACAUGUUUGCCUUCCUUUGUUUAAGCCUUUAUUCCUCCUAAAUGAAAAUAAAUACCCCCGACUGGGGAACGUGGAGUUUGGAGUGUGUGCAAGAGUGUGGAUUCAUUAAAACUUAACGAGCAGAGUACUUAAGUGAAUGAGUUUACUGGAACUUGUUGGGGGAAGUAGGUUUUGUUAGCUGGU